GGUAGAGGAAGCUUGCUUCCUUGAGACCGGCGCACGGGUGCGUAACGCGUAUGCAAUCUACCUUGUACAGGGGGAUAGCCCAGAGAAAUUUGGAUUAAUACCCCAUAGUGUAAUUGAAUGGCAUCAUUUAAUUACUAAAGUUCCAACGGUACAAGAUGAGCAUGCGUCCUAUUAGCUAGUUGGUAUGGUAACGGCAUACCAAGGCUACGAUAGGUAGGGGUCCUGAGAGGGAGAUCCCCCACACUGGUACUGAGACACGGACCAGACUCCUACGGGAGGCAGCAGUGAGGAAUAUUGGACAAUGGGCGCAAGCCUGAUCCAGCCAUGCCGCGUGCAGGAAGAAGCAUCUAUGGUGUGUAAACUGCUUUUGUACGGGAAGAAACACUCCGACGUGUCGGAGCUUGACGGUACCGUAAGAAUAAGGAUCGGCUAACUCCGUGCCAGCAGCCGCGGUAAUACGGAGGGUCCAAGCGUUAUCCGGAAUCAUUGGGUUUAAAGGGUCCGUAGGCGGUUUAAUAAGUCAGUGGUGAAAGCCCAUCGCUUAACGAUGGAACGGCCAUUGAUACUGUUAGACUUGAAUUAUUGGGAAGUAACUAGAAUAUGUAGUGUAGCGGUGAAAUGCUUAGAUAUUACAUGGAAUACCAAUUGCGAAGGCAGGUUACUACCAAUUGAUUGACGCUGAUGGA
rnacentral:rRNA from 1 species